GAAUCGCUAGCUCAGCUGGCAGAGCACAUCCCUUUUAAGGAUGGGGUCCUGGGUUCGAACCCCAGGCGAUUCACUA
rnacentral:tRNA from 2 species